rnacentral:rRNA from 1 species
GUGGGGAAUAUUGGGCAAUGGGCGCAAGCCUGACCCAGCAACGCCGCGUGAAGGAAGAAGGCUUUCGGGUUGUAAACUUCUUUUACCAGGGACGAAACAAAUGACGGUACCUGGUGAAUAAGCCACGGCUAACUACGUGCCAGCAGCCGUGGUAAUACGUAGGUGGCGAGCGUUAUCCGGAUUUAUUGGGUGUAAAGGGCGUGUAGGCGGGACAGCAAGUCAGAUGUGAAAACCAGAGGCUCAACCUCUGGCCUGCAUUUGAAACUGUUGUUCUUGAGUGGCGGAGAGGUAAUCGGAAUUCCGUGUGUAGCGGUGAAAUGCGUAGAUAUACGGAGGAACACCAGUGGCGAAGGCGGAUUACUGGACGAUAACUGACGCUGAGGCGCGAAAGCGUGGGGAGCAAACAGGAUUAGAUACCCCGGUAGUCC